CUGGAUAAGAGCUGCUCAUAU
rnacentral:misc_RNA from 1 species